rnacentral:tRNA from 1 species
GGCGCUGUGGCUGAGUGGUUAAGCGCUGGGCUUUUGAACCUGAGGUCCUGGGUUCGAAUCUCGACGGAGUCU